GCUGGGUGUUCAGGAGGCCUCAGUGCGAGCUCUCAGGCUCCUCGGUUCCCUCUUCAAAGCUUCCUUCACGGGUGAUGAAAUGGAAUCUCAGAGAGGCCAAGCCAUUUGCCUGAGGUCACAAAGCAUUUUCAGACCAGGCCCCAAGGCUCUUUCAGAGAGGGAUGGGAGGAGAGGAGAAAAGUGCAUCCAGUUCAUCUCCCCGGAAGGAGAAGCCACCACAAGGGGGCGCCUGGGUGGCUCAGUCGGUUGAGCGGCUGACUUCAGCUCAGGUCAUGAUCCCUCGUUCAUGAGCUUGAGCUGCAUCUGGCUGUGUGUUGACAGCAAGGAGCCUGGAGCCUGCUUUCAGAUUCUGUUUCC